GUGGAGAGUAACUUACAGCCACAAGUUUGAGAGUCUGAUCUCUAUCCAAUUUGAGCCUCACCAAUUGCGAUCUCCGGUUCGAAUUCUCUGCGUCCACGAAAUUCAAAUUCGAAAACCGAAACGCGUUUAACGAGUAACCAAGCACGUCGAUGCCACGCGCCCAGAACGGUUUAUCCCCUUUCCCACUCGGAAUCAGCUCCUCUAUCGCCUUACCUAAUCCCACCGCCGUCUCCGUCGCCGCCACCACGGGACCGUUUCCGAAACCAUCAGCCGCCGUCUCUUUCAUAAACUCUCUCAGAAGCGUAACCGCCGCAGUACGAUCGACCGCCGCCGUGUUCAGCCGAAAUGUGAGUAUCCGUUGCUCUCCGUCGUCGGUUAGAUCGUAGAGACUGACGAUAAACACGCGUGACUCGGAUUUGAUCCAACGGUGUGGAUUGAUCCACGUGUUUUUGUUCAUCUCGUGUUCUAGGAUGAUUCUGUGUGGAUCAGCGCAUGGAUCGUCGCUGUCUCGGAUGAUCUGAGCCGUAGAUACGGAAUCGAAGGGAUGGAUUUCGACGUGAGAAUCGGCGGCGGACGUAACGACGAAGGAGAAGGAGUUAGCGGAUGCGUCGAAACGGAUGUUGGAACGGAGAGUGGGGUGGUAAAUCUGGAGUUUGUCGAGGGUAUUUUGGAGAUUUUGGAGUUUUGGUGUUCGGGAAAGUAAGAGAGCUAUGACGGCGAUACCUGUGCCGCCGUCAAUCGCUCUGCACCAGCUGUACUCGGUUCCUCCGACGGGUCGGGUCAUGGAUUUGGGUACCCGAUUUGGCUCACUCAUUAUCCUUGAGAAAGAAGAGAGAUUGUUUUCACUUUUUUGGGAUUUUAAGAUUUUACUUGUAUCAUAUAUUGUCAGGUGGGUAAAUAUGGGGAAGAUACAGUGACGUACCUUUUACUCGGUUAAGUGUAAUUUUUCCGGUUUAUCAACCAAAUAGAAAUGAUUUUGCAUUUACGAA